AAAGACAGAAGAGAGAUAGAGAGAGUCAUAUUAAAACCAGAAAAAGACUGUAGAUAAAGGAAAAUGUUACACUCCUGUUACUCAUUAAUGUGAGAAAGAGUAACGCACAACGUGGCUAAUUAGUCCCUCCUUCUAAAUAAAAGAGUGAAUGGUUGAUUGGAAAAGUCACUCUUCAUCUCAACAUCUUUCAGAAGCUGCGGUUGCUGUAGUUUAUUCUGAGAUACGUGUGUAUGACUGAACAUGAGCAUCGACUGCUGGCAGACUGAAAAGAGCUUCUUUUUAAAUGCUUUAUGAACAUAGUUAACAUUGGCUCCUCAGUCUUGGGUGGCAUCUGUGGCUCAGUUUUGAGACGUGAAGAGGUGUUGGUGCAUUGGUUUCCGUGUCCAUCCUGGAGCUGGAGCUUAUCCCAGCAACCACAGGCCAAAAGAUUGAAAAUGACCCUGAAGAGGUGACCAGUCUGUCACAGAGAUAACACACACACUAUUGAUCAAAUAA